rnacentral:piRNA from 3 species
GGGUUAAGGCGCCCGAUGCCGACGCUC